ensembl:lncRNA
ACACGAUCGGCGCUACUGCAAGCUGAGAGAAGCACCACACGCCCACUUCCAUCAGUUCGGCCAAUUCCUGAGAAGUGAUACAGUCUCUGAAUCUCAAAUCGUUUGGCCAGCGAUCUUUCUGGAGGCGGAAUCUGCAAACGAGAUCACCCGGAGGCGACUAACCCAUUCUCCCAGAUGCGCAGCUGACUCGUCGAAGGAGGUUACCGGGGAGAAAUGACAAAGCCGUGUGUGAUGCACCGCCGAACUGAGCUGCAUCUUACAGCCCUCCUCCCCACCGGGCCUACGCCUGCGAAUUUAUACAUAUUUCAACCAUUUAUAAUGCAAAAACCUGUUCAUGCCAAAUGAAGGCAUCAUAAUGCCUUAAUAGCCAGUGAGCUUUACCCUGCUGCUUCCGCAUAAUCUGUUCAAUUUUGACAAGCUGUGAAAUUAAAUUUUUGUGUGACUUUAUUAUCAUUGUGGCCACUAGAGCCGUAAUAUUCCCGUCUAUUCGAUUCUGUAGCUCGGCGUUCCUCAUCAGACAACACUUGUUUAGACGGUUGCGCCCCCGAACUCACACACACACAGCAACACGUCAAUGGCGUCCACUAUCAAAAGCAUUUCAAUUGAUGGAAAUCUUAAAAUGUGGGGCAGGAGAGAGAAGUUACAACGACUGAACACAUGUAUUUAGUUAAAUACAUUUUCUUGUGAAUAUAUGAACAUUUCUGCUUGUCAAACUGCAGAUCUGUGAAGCUGAUGCAAGUUUCAAACUUCCAUUUUUUUCACUCGGCCACAUUUUUCUCUGUAUUUCUUUCUAUCCUCUGCCUUCCAUUUUCCCUCUAAUUCUGUCUUUUUUUCCCCCCUAUCUUUCCGAGGACAGGCUUUGUGGCUAGCUAAGCCGGCCCGGAUCGCAUUUCGCUGUCAAAUAAAAUGUCCCUGGCAAGCUGCGUCCCGGCAGUCGAAUAUAAGUAGGACGCUUUGUGUCGUGUCAUUUGGAGGCGAAGGACACAAGAUUCCUCCGCCGGCGCUCGACCAAACGCAAGGCCUCAAAUUAAAAGGCCAUUACGCGGCGGGUUUGCGAGGCUUGUUUGGGUUCGUUCAGACAGCCGUGGGUUGCGGCCUUCCAUUCCACCUCCAUUCUGGUGAGUUUUUAACGUGUGUAUUUGUGUGAGUGUUGAAAAGUCCUGGUAGACGCAGACGGAUGAAAAAAAAAAAAAAACGUCCUCACUUCAAAAGAGGAGCCAUUUUUUUUGCUCCCACUUGUGUUUGGAUUUAAGGUUAAAUCCGGCUCAAGUUGAGCUUGGGGUGAAGACAGAAACCGAGCUGUAGCGCUGACGGUGUCUACAGCAGAACGGGUUUACCCUUUCCCUCUCGCUGCUAACUUCCAAACUGUUUACUGUCAUGACUGACGAGAUCUCUCACAUACAUCUCCCAGAUUUCCAACAUGAAGGCGCUCGUGUAAAAUAUUUACUUGCUGCCAGGAAGUAAACAAGUGCCCCCUCGCCGGCUUGUUGGGACCAAUCAAAAGUUUGGGCAAAGGACAUGAAAGGCUGACACAUCUUGUGGCUUGUAGGGUGGGGGGUGUGGGGGGGUGUCGGGGGUCCGUCUGUGUGAUUGCGUGUGUACGUAUGUAUGUUAAUAUCUAAGCUGGUAUUCCUGCAGAAGAUCCGUGCGCACGCCAGUGUUUACCUCCUCUGUGUGUGAUGAAGCUGAACCGCGUGUGACCCCCCCCCCCCCCUGCAGAUCAUACGAGCUGCCGCAUUGGUUUCUGUGAAAUAAAUGAAAACAUGGCAAUUUUCUUCUCUGCAUGCAGGAAGACGAAAACAUGCCGUCGAGUCGAGUGUUUAAUUCACAGGGUUAGUUUAGUGUGCGCUUCCAUCGCAUCUGGAAUGAGAAGCACCGUGCUUCAUGUGUAGACUGUUGUUUACUUCAUUCGCUCGCAUCACUAUUUCUGUUACCAAGGGAACGCUCAAUCAAAAGGGUUACAGUUUGAUUUGGUGGGUUUCGGUUAGUGUGUUAGCACUAUGUGCAGCAUGGCCUGCCUGAUUAGCAUAUUCCAUCAUGUUAAACAAAUAGGAGACAAUGAGGG